rnacentral:rRNA from 1 species
GACGAACGCUGGCGGCGUGCUUAACACAUGCAAGUCGAGCGGACAGAAGGGAGCUUGCUCCCGGAAGUUAGCGGCGGACGGGUGAGUAACACGUGGGCAACCUACCCUGUAGAUCGGGAUAACAUCGAGAAAUCGGUGCUAAUACCGGAUAAUCAUUUGAAGUGCAUGCUUCGAAUGUAAAAGAUGGCUCCGGCUAUCACUACGGGAUGGGCCCGCGGCGCAUUAGCUAGUUGGUAAGGUAAUGGCUUACCAAGGCAACGAUGCGUAGCCGACCUGGGAGGGUGAUCGGCCACACUGGGACUGAGACACGGCCCGGACUCCUACGGGAGGCAGCAGUAGGGAAUCUUCCGCAAUGGACGAAAGUCUGACGGAGCAACGCCGCGUGAGUGAUGAAGGUUUUCGGAUCGUAAAGCUCUGUUGUUAGGGAAGAACAAGUGCCGUUUGAAUAAGGCGGCACCUUGACGGUACCUAACCAGAAAGCCACGGCUAACUACGUGCCAGCCGCCGCCGUAACAC